UCUCUCUCUGUAACUCUGUUGCUAAACAGAGAGUCUGACGACCAGAAUCCAGCAAGCUAGUACGCCUGUGAUGGGAAAGGCAUGCUGCUAAACAGUGAGUCUGACGACCAGAAUCCAGCAAGCUAGUACGCCUGUGAUGGGAAAGGCAUGCCCCUUUCUAUACUCUAUAGUGAGAGCAACCCGCAGGCCUCGGCGUCCUACAGUUGGGUCCUUGAUCUUUGAGGCAGUAUCAUCCAUCAUCGUUGCCACAGUUAAUCCGGCCAUCACUCCUAGGCCCAGCUUUACCAACUUGGAAGGUUGAAGUUUAAUGGCAUGGAACCGGCGUGUCAACACUCACUAGCGGCCGGACGUCUACAUUACAUAGAUAAAUAUUUGUGGUGUCUUUGUGGCACCCAUAAGCAUGUGGUGAGCAUCAUCAUCAGAGACGGAG
rnacentral:lncRNA from 1 species